CCAACAGGGAUUGCCUCAGUAACGGCGAGUGAAGCGGCAAGAGCUCAAAUUUGAAAGCUGGCCCCUUCGGGGUCCGCGUUGUAAUUUGCAGAGGAUGCUUCGGGUGCAGCCCCCGUCUAAGUGCCCUGGAACGGGCCGUCAUAGAGGGUGAGAAUCCCGUCUGGGACGGGGUGUCUGCGUCCGUGUGAAGCUCCUUCGAAGAGUCGAGUUGUUUGGGAAUGCAGCUCUAAAUGGGUGGUAAAUUUCAUCUAAAGCUAAAUACUGGCCGGAGACCGAUAGCGCACAAGUAGAGUGAUCGAAAGAUGAAAAGCACUUUGAAAAGAGAGUUAAACAGCACGUGAAAUUGUUGAAAGGGAAGCGUUUGCGACCAGACUCGCUCGCGGGGUUCAGCCGGCAUUCGUGCCGGUGUACUUCCCCGUGGGCGGGCCAGCGUCGGUUUGGGCGGCCGGUCAAAGGCCCUCGGAAUGUAUCACCUCUCGGGGUUGUCUUAUAGCCGAGGGUGCAAUGCGGCCUGCCCGGACCGAGGAACGCGCUUCGGCUCGGACGCUGGCGUAAUGGUCGUAAAUGACCCGUC
rnacentral:rRNA from 1 species